rfam:Myotis lucifugus cont2.15364, whole genome shotgun sequence.
UCUGGAGGACUAAGAAGGCUGAGUCUGAUGAAGUAAGACUCUGCUGAUACAAUCCUCCUAAAAGAAAAAAUAGUAGCCCGUGACUAUCUUAUAAAC